ensembl:lncRNA
UUUUUUUUUUUUUUUUUUUGCCUUUUUAGGGCCAUAUCCACAGCAUAUGGAAGUCCCCAGGGCAGGGGUCAAAUUGGAGCUGGAGCUGCCAGCCUACACCCCAGCCACAGCAACAUGGGAUCCUUAACCCUCUGAGCAAGACCGGGGAUGGAACCUGCAUCCUCAUAGAUGCUAGUUGGGUUUGUUACCACUGAGCCACCACAGGAACUCCCUGCUUCCCAAACUUUCUCUUCACCAUGAUUCUCCUCUCUAUUGGUGGCAGCGCCAUAUGUCCCAUCACCUCAGGUAGGAACCUUGGAGAAUUGAUGGUUUGAUGUAAAUAAGAAUCUCAAUUUCCUUCAUCUGCUUUGGGUCCCUUGUGGACCUUUCUCCAUAUAGAAGCCAGAGUGCUCUAUUCAACCUAAAUCAGGUCACAUCACUCUCCUGCUUAAUGUCCUCCAGUGGCUUCCCACUGCACAUACUACUACACUCAAGCUCUCCAGCAUGGCUUAACGGGCCUUAUCUUGCAACACACUCUCCUGAUCAUACAGGUACCAUAGCUUCAAAAGUGGCCCCUGCCCUAUGAGCACCCUGUUAAAGAUGCAAUUCUUGGACCCACUUUAGAUCAACUGAAUGAGAAACCCCAGGGAUGAGGCCAACCAAUUGUGUGUUAACAAGCCUUUUAGGUGGUUUUGAUACUAGCCUGGCUUCUUUGUGUUCCUCAGACAUGGGAGACAUCCUUUUGCCUGAAGGCUGUCUCUCAGAUGUCCACCUGAUUUGUGGGACUAGCUCUGCUUCAUUAUUCAGAUCUAUUCCAAAGCCAUUUCUUCAGAAAGGCUAUUCCCACCCAUCCCCUCUAAAGGAACUGUAUUCCUCUUGCCCCACUGUUGUUCUCGUUACUCUACCAUAAGUCUGGGUUUUAUUUACACUAGUGAACACAAUUUGAAAUUACCUUUCUUGCCUGUUUAUCUGCAUCCUCCCACCAGAAGGGUACCUUAACUGAUUGUGCUCAAGAUGAAAUUGUUGAGUAAAUGAUUAUAUGAACAUGUGAGUAGGUAUAUGUGACAGAUGGAGUUACUGAACUCAAUUCUUUACUUCUCCCUGAUUCUACAUUCUUUGUCAUUUUUUGCCUGUGGCUCUGUCUCUCUCUCUUUCUUUCUUUCAUGGCCACACCCAUGGCAUAUGGAAGUUCUCAGGCCAGGGACUGAAUCUGAGCUGCAGCCGCGGCAAUGUCAGAUCCUUUAACCCACUGUGCUGGGCUUGGGAUUGAACCCACACCUCUGCAGCGACCUGAGCAGCUGCAAUCAGAUUCUUAACCCACUGCACCACAGAGGAAACUCCUACAGAUCCUUCAACUAGAGAAAUUUCGCUUCUUUGGAUUAGCUCCAAGCAAUACUUAUGUGGAGUAGAUCUGGACCAAACAUGCAGUUUGGAGCUGAGCCCAGCCUAGAUCAGCCAACUCUCAGAUUUUUGAGCAAGCAAAAACUACUGUUGUUUGAAAUUACAUAGUUUUGGGGGUGGAGGUUAUUACAUUACUGUGUCAACAGCUAACACUGUAUAUAUAUUCUAUGUUAAUUACAAUUCAACUCCAGAAAAAGUGGUAAUAAGUCUUGUUUUUAGGACAAGAGUAAGGAUGAUUUGAAAGGAAGUAAUUACUGAGUAAGUCCUUUGGAAAACAAAGUGAAAGAUUACCUGGUAGAUAAGAUGGGGAAGAGUAUUUGGGGAAAAGGAAUUAUAUGAAGAAAGGCCUUCAGCAAAGUGUAAAAAGCAUCUGGAAAAAGGCAAAAAACUCAUUAGGCAGAAAGCAUGUGGGUGAGCAACUUGAAAUAAGAUUAAAAUAAUAGUAAUUACACCUUACUUUCGCAAAGAAUGUUUCAAUGAACAUUUUUGUGCAGGUUCUCUUAUUUGGUGCUCAUGGUAUCUCUGAGGCAGUGCUCUGUAGAGUCUUAGAGAACCUUGGUUAGAAUCCUACCAUUGUGGCCUUGGGAAAGUUCCUUUGACUAUCUCUCAGCCUUGACUUUCUAAUCCAUUAAAUGCUGCUACUCUCAGGAUUAAAAGAGAUGAGAUGCAUACAGUGCCCAAUGUACAACAGGUACUCAAAGUUUCCCGCUGCCCAUCCAAUUUUAUCUCCGAAGAAACUGAGGCUCAGGUUAAGCAGCUUGUCUAUGUGUCACAUUACUAAGAAGUAGCAGGUUUGGGGCCAUGAUUCCUAUUUUAAGUCUCUGCCCUCGAUGCCACGGCUUCAUUUGGCAAUGCUGAGAAAUGAGCUCAAGCUUGGAAAGCUCAAACUUUCCAGCUCUCUGCUGGCAAUGCUUUUCUUAAGCUCUUCACCUGAUAUCAAGAAAACAAAUAGGGUAAGGGGUAAUGGUCCCAAUCUGCUUAUUAUUUUUUCCCCUCUAAGCCCUUCUAUGGCCCCCUGUUGGCAUAUCCCUCCUAUGCCUCCAGUGUCAGGUAUGUGAUCAGUGCUCAAGAGGUCCUUGCAGGUUGAAAAUGUUCAAGGCCAAGGGCCGGUACUGGUAGACCCUGUCAAGAAAGCAUUUGUGAGACAAAGGGUGGGAAGGGCUCUGAGUACUCUGCAGCCAUGGUGGGUUUUUAUGGGUUACCUGUGGCUGCAGGGUGGGCUGGGUCAGAGUGAUUAGACAUAGUGAGGAAGAGGAUUCUAGUCUAGCUUAUCUGUGGUGGGCAUCACCCCUUGUGCAUUCCUCUUUUGCAUCCCUUCCCAACUUAUGUCAAAUUCUGCUCACCCUGUUUCGUUCUUUCCAUCUCAUUCUCAGAUUUCUACAAGACUGAAACAGAAGUUGCAGCAGAGGAUGGUGGGAAUGUAAAUAGUUACAACUGCUAUAGAAAACAAUGUGUCACUCUCCUAUAGAAUUGAAUGUCUGCAUGCUCUAUGAUUUAGCUUUCCACUCUUUGGUAUGUGCCUCAGAGAUAUUCAGGAGACAUAUUUGGAGCUACCAAACCUGGAAACAAUUCAAGUAUCCCUCAUAUGAAAAUAGUUAAAUGAAUUAGGGUAUAGUUACACAAUGGAAUAUUAUGCAGCAAAGAAAAUAAAGGAAUCACAGUCACAUAGACCAGUCAUGAAUGAAUCUUAUACACUUAAAACUGAAUUAAAAAGCAGAUUACUGGAGAUGUUCUACUGUAUGACACAUUUUUUCAAAGAACAGCAAAACCAAGCAGCAUUUCUAGGAAGACAUCCAUGUAAAAAAGAAAAGAAGGAAAAAAAAAACAAUGAAAAAUAUUGGGUCUCUAGAGGUAACGGGGACCAAGAUGGAGAAGCCCACAGGUAGAUGUAACAAUAGUGGUAUACAUAGGAUUGUGGGCUGACAGGUCUUUCAUUUUCUUGUAUGCCUAGUGAUUUAGAUGCAAAAAUAAUACAUGUGAUUGAUGUUAAAUAUAGAUGUAUAUAUACAGGUAUUUGUAAUAGAUCAAUAGAAGUCCCCUGGAUGGAGAGGCAGGAGGAUUAUUUCUUUAAUUUUAAAUUGACAUGGAUUAUAAAUUAUAUUACCCAUUUAAUAAAAACUUUUGGGAAAAGGAGGGGAUGAAAUGCCCUUCAGUAUCAAGCAAUUAGAUGCAACAGAUCUCUUUCUCUUUCUAGAGAUUAAAGUCUCGACUUUGGAGAACAUGGCAUGAACUUAUGAGCCAUGUUGUGGAGACAGCUUUGGGGACAGAUGCUUCUGUGAGCACGCUUUAUUUCACUACUUGUCCUUUGUCCUGGAAAGUGGAUAUAAAUUUGGAGGGAAAAAUUAUAGAAAAUGCAAAGUAUUCUUUUAAGUUUUAAAAAUGGAGAUGGGUGAGAUUAAGGGCAAGAAAGUUGGCCACUCUUGUGAAGGUUUUUUCUUUUCUUUUCUUUUUUUUUUGAAGGAGGAACCAAUGUUUCUGAACCUCCUUUUUCCUAGGACUCCUUUCCCUUCUGAGUCUGAUCUUGGAGCUCAGCUUAAUUAUAUAUAAUGCCUGUCUAAGAGCUAUGUCUUGAAAAAUGGGGGUCUAGAAUGUAAAGAAAUUGAUUCAGGUCUUUGAAGCAAGUGUUCAAAAUAAUUUUGUGUUUCUCUGAAUGUACCAUGGGAAGCUAACUCCUUAUUAAUUUCUGUGACAACCCUUAAGGCAAAUGAACNAACAAAAAAAGUCCAUGAGCUGGAAAAUGUCCUAUGUACCUCCAGAGCUAUUAUCACUGAAGAGAAGGGUUAACUAGAAGCCGUUUCUUUAUGUUCCACGAGUCCCUCUGGGCUUUGGUCACAAUGUACAAAGAAGAAACUGAAGUUUGGAUGAAUAAAGUCAGGAAACCAUCAGAAGGUGGCAGGAGACAGUACAUGGUGUAGCCAGUCUUGGUGCCUGUCCAGUGGCCCUUGCUCUUAAUUAAAGGAGAAACUGAAGACAUGGUCAUAAAUAGAAGACAAAAGUCGAUGACAAUGCAAUGAAGGUCUUACUAUUGUGCUGGGAGAAAGAGGCCCUUGGUGCCUGAGCUGAAUAAAAUAAGGCCGCAGUGAACAUCCCGGGUCAGAUACUAUUGUGUGAAAGUUUUUCUCUCUGAGAACAUGGACUCUGCAGCAAAAGCAGGAAAUCCACAUUGUACUUGGAAGGCCAGGUGGACCUUAUUGGACUUUGUGACCUUGAGCCUAAAAGAAAGGCAAGGCAUUUUGGUGAAGGAAUUUUGAAGCCAGAGCUGUCCUGAGGCCAUUUUUGCAUUUAUGGAAGCUGAUGAAAAGGGGUACUCUUUGACCCUGAACAGGUGUCAAAGAAUGUUUUAGAACUUUUUUGAGUCAGCCCAAGGAGAAAGUUACCAGGAAGGAACAGUCAAUGCUCUUAGAAGACAACCACCAGCGCACACUGAGUAAAACCAGGGGAUUUGGAGUUCCUGGUGUGGUUCCGUAGGUUGAGGACCUGAUCUGCGAGGAUGUGGGUUCAAUUCCUGGCCUUGCUCCAUAGGUUAAGGAUCUGAUGUUGUUCGAUCCCUGGCCCAGGAACUUCCAUAUACUGCAGGUGUGGCUAUAAAACAAGGAAAAAAGAAGAAGAAGAAGAAAAAGAAAAAACAAACCAAGGGCUCUUAUGUUAGACAUACAUUCAAAUCUCCUCUCUGAAAUUCGUGUCUGUGUAAAGUUGGGGGAAGCUACUUAGACCACAUAAACCACAGUUUCC